AGCGGCUGUUCAGCGGGAGUCCAGCGUUUGUUCAAUGACCUAAGGCGAUCCUCAUCCCUCGUAACCAUCCUCGACGUCCCUUGAGGCUCGGUGCUCCUUGAUCAAAGCUCGACUGAGCUCGAAUCGCACAAAAAAUGUCAAAUAGUAAUUACCUAAUACUCGAGCUCAAUGAGGCAAGAUUACCUUAGGCAACAAAGGCUAGAGCUCACACUAAGGUCAAAUUUUCAUGCUUGAAAUCUGAAGUUUAGAUGUUGGAGAAGUUGCUGGGAUGAGGUUGUGGUGUAUGAUGAUGAUUAGAUGACUUGACUGAGCUUGAUCGUUAAUCCUGCAAAAAUCUUGUGCUGAUUGGACUGACCUGAUAAAUGCCUCUGUUUGAGUUA
rnacentral:lncRNA from 1 species